rnacentral:lncRNA from 1 species
CGGGACGCUCCGCCCCGCCCCUCCGGGCAGCGAGGUUCCGCCUCACCUUUCAAAGGCCCUAUGCUGGUCCGGCUUCUCUCCACCACCCACCCACUGACGGCAGGGCCCCGCCUGCAGGCCGUUCAGCUAUUUGUCUGCUGUUGCGCGCACCGUGACCCACGCGGAAGUGGAGAGCGGCGAGUGGAGGUCCCAGCGCAGCACUCACGUUACUUGAGGAAGCCCAGAAGAGGAGGAGGAGGAGAAGAAGGAGAGAACAGGAGUCAGGUAUGGCUCUUUCUCAGGUAAGGUCAUAUUCUCAGUGGAUUCUCACACUGCCUUCCUGAAAUGGCCUUCUCUGGACUCGCUAAUCAUGUCUGACUCUGGAGUGUCCUGUCUGACUCCUGUACAUGCACACUCACCUGGGGCCUUCCCUCAGGGUCUGUCGUCUCCACUUAGAUCUCGUCUCCCCAUGACCCGGUGACCUGGCCCUUGUGAGGAGGCUCCCCUGGGCACUGUCCUGGGCAGGGCUUCACAUCCAUGGGUUGGAGAUGGGGUUUCAGUGCUGUUGGGCAGCAGGGAUUGCUUUGCUUAGGGCCCACCUGGAUUCCCUGUCUGCCCUCUGUCAACCAGGGUAAGGAAGCUGCACACUAGAUGUGAGGUAUUAACAUGCACAGUACGUGCUAAAAUCUGGAAAAGAGGCCAAUAAGGGGAAAUCAGAUCUGAAUUUUUAAAUAGCAUUUAAAACUAAAUGAGGACCUCCUUGAAAAUCUGAAAUAUUUGGAAAUGGAAUGGAAAGUUCAGAAACAGACCUCAGGUCUAGAGAGUAUUUCAUUACAGUGUCUACUUUAAACUAUGAAAUAUAGUUGGCUAAUUAGUUUUUCUUCUUUUUUGGCCAUACAAUGCAGCUUGCAGGGUCUCAGUUCCCUGAGGAGGCAUUAAACCCGAAACCCAGUGGUGGAAGUGUGGGAUCUUAACCAGUGAACUGACAGGGAAUUCCCCCAACUUUCCUAAUCUUCAUGCAAUAUUUGGUUAUGGAGUAAAAAGGUAAACAUUGGAUUCUGUUAAUAACUACCUCCCUUACGUUAAGGAUAAAAUCAUAUUACUUUUUUUUUUUAAUAUAUUUAAAAAAUAUAUAUCGGCUGUACUGAUCUUCAUUGCUGCAGUGGCUUUUAUCUAGUUCUGGUGUGUGGUGGCCACUCUUUAGUUGCAGUGUAUGAGUUUCUUAUUACAGUGGCUUUUCUUAUCUUGCAACUCAGAUUGUAGAGCACGCUGGCUUCAGUAAUUUCACCUGCUGGGCUCUACAGCUCUUGCUCAGAAAUUGAGGCUCAUGGGCUUAGUUGCCCCUCAUCAUGUGGGAUCUUAACGGAUCAGGCACCACAGGGGAAGCCCUCGUAUUAUUUUUUAAAUCUGUAUAUUAUUUUCUGCUUGUAUUAUUAUUAUUAUUAUUAUUUUUUUUUUGAGCUAGUAUAAGAUAAUGUCGAGGACUUUCCUGGUGGUACAGUGAGUAAGAAUGUGCCUGCCAGGGUAGGGUGCACGGGUUCCAUCCCAGGUCCAGGAAGAUGCCUCAGAGCAACUAAGCCCAUGUGCCACAACUACUGACUGUGUUCUAUAGCCUGGGAGCCAUAACUCCUGAAGCCCACACACUCUGGAGCGUGUGUUCAAAAACAAGAGAAGCCACUGCAACGAGAAGUCCGGGCAUUGCAGCCGUAAGUACAGAAAGUGUGCUCACAGCAACAAAGACCCAGCAAAACCAAAAUAAAUAAGCUUUAGAAAAGACA